rnacentral:rRNA from 1 species
UGGGGAAUCUUAGACAAUGGGCGCAAGCCUGAUCUAGCCAUGCCGCGUGUGUGAUGAAGGCCUUAGGGUCGUAAAGCACUUUCGCUAGGGAUGAUAAUGACAGUACCUAGUAAAGAAACCCCGGCUAACUCCGUGCCAGCAGCCGCGGUAAUACGGAGGGGGUUAGCGUUGUUCGGAAUUACUGGGCGUAAAGCGUACGUAGGCGGAUCAGAAAGUAUAGGGUGAAAUCCCAAGGCUCAACCUUGGAACUGCCUUAUAAACUCCUGGUCUUGAGUUCGAGAGAGGUGAGUGGAAUUCCAAGUGUAGAGGUGAAAUUCGUAGAUAUUUGGAGGAACACCAGUGGCGAAGGCGGCUCACUGGCUCGAUACUGACGCUGAGGUACGAAAGUGUGGGGAGCAAACA